rnacentral:rRNA from 1 species
UACAGAGGGUGCGAGCGUUAAUCGGAAUUACUGGGCGUAAAGCGUGCGUAGACGGUUAUUUAAGUCGGGUGUGAAAGCCCCGGGCUCAACCUGGGAAUUGCAUUCGAGACUGAAUAGCUAGGGUACGGUAGAGGGAAGCGGAAUUUCCGGUGUAGCGGUGAAAUGCGUAGAUAUCUGGAGGAACACCGGUGGCGAAGGCGGCAUCCUGGACCGGCAUUGACGCUGAGGCGCGAAAGCCAGGGGAGCAAACGGG